AGGACCUAUACCAGCAUAUCCAUAGACCGGGCUCAUACCGUCUAAGCAAAUACAGCUAGAGCUGAUUUUAAGCUCCAGAAAAUUAUCAUCCUAUACUCAAUUGGAUUUGAGGACAUUACCUUUUCAACAUUUAUCUACAGCCAGAAGGAAGAAACUCUGGUUUGGGAAGUCCGACAGCCAUUGCACAAGCGCAAGAAAUCCAAUUUCUUCUAUCCAUAUUUCAGGGAGUGAUUAUAUAGAAUCAAACUUACUUUGGGUGCUUGGGUCCC